rnacentral:rRNA from 1 species
UCGAACGCUUCUUUUUCCACCGGAGCUUGCUCCACCGGAAAAAGAGGAGUGGCGAACGGGUGAGUAACACGUGGGUAACCUGCCCAUCAGAAGGGGAUAACACUUGGAAACAGGUGCUAAUACCGUAUAACAAUCGAAACCGCAUGGUUUUGAUUUGAAAGGCGCUUUCGGGUGUCGCUGAUGGAUGGACCCGCGGUGCAUUAGCUAGUUGGUGAGGUAACGGCUCACCAAGGCGACGAUGCAUAGCCGACCUGAGAGGGUGAUCGGCCACAUUGGGACUGAGACACGGCCCAAACUCCUACGGGAGGCAGCAGUAGGGAAUCUUCGGCAAUGGACGAAAGUCUGACCGAGCAACGCCGCGUGAGUGAAGAAGGUUUUCGGAUCGUAAAACUCUGUUGUUAGAGAAGAACAAGGAUGAGAGUAACUGUUCAUCCCUUGACGGUAUCUAACCAGAAAGCCACGGCUAACUACGUGCCAGCAGCCGCGGUAAUACGUAGGUGGCAAGCGUUGUCCGGAUUUAUUGGGCGUAAAGCGAGCGCAGGCGGUUUCUUAAGUCUGAUGUGAAAGCCCCCGGCUCAACCGGGGAGGGUCAUUGGAAACUGGAGACUUGAGUGCAGAGAGAGAGAAGUUGGAAUUCCAUUGUGUUAGCGGUUGAAAUGCGUAGAUAUUUUGGAAGGAACCCCCGUGGCGAACGGCGGCUCCUCUGGUCUGUAACUGACGCUGAGGCUCGAUAAGCGUGGGGAGCAAACAGGAUACAUACCCUGGUAGUCCACGCCGUAAACGAUGAAUGCUAAGUGUUGGAGGGUUUCCGCCGUUCGUUGCUGCAGCUAACGGCAUUAAGCACUUCCGCCUGGAGGAGGACGACCGCAGGGUUGAUACUCACAGGCAUUGACGGCUGCCNGCACAACGGUGAGCA